rnacentral:rRNA from 1 species
GAUCCUGGCUUAGGAUUAACGCUGGCGGCGUGCCUAAUACAUGCAAGUCGAAUGGUAGCAAUACCAUGGCGAACGGGUGAGUAACACGUAGGUAACCUGUCUUUAAGCCGAGGAUAACCAUUGGAAACGAUGGAUAAUACUGGAUAGGACAUUUGAAGGCAUCUUUAAAUGUUUAAAGAUUUAUCACUUAGAGAGGGGCCUGCGGCGCAUUAGCUAGUUGGUGAGGUGAAGGCUUACCAAGGCGAUGAUGCGUAGCCGGACUGAGAGGUUGAACGGCCACAAUGGAACUGAGAACGGUCCAUACUCCUACGGGAGGCAGCAGUAGGGAAUUUUCGGCAAUGGGCGGAAGCCUGAACCCGAGCAACGCCGCGUGAACGAAGAAGUAUUUCGGUAUGUAAAGUUCUUUUAUUAGGGACGAAAAGACAGAUUGACGGUACCUAAUGAAUAAGCUCCGGCUAACUACGUGCCAGCAGCCGC